AUUUUAAUUUUUUUCUGUUGGUUUUAGACUUCCAUGCUUUUUUCCCGGUAACACCAUAUGGAGGGAAUUUUGUACAACAUUCUAAGAUUUGGAUGCAUGCGUUUGGAGAGAUGGGGACAUUUCGAAAAAUGAUUUGGAGAAGUUGCAAUGUCGGGGAGAUUCAUUUAGUGGAGCAGGCAAAAUAAUAGAAUGCAAUUUACAAGUGUUAUGACACGACGUAAAUGUGCAUGAGAAGAAAGCUCUCAGACAAUCACUUGGACAGGGCAUACAGAAUCACGUUUUACAUUUGUCAUGGUUGCAGAUGAGAAUGUUACUCAGGUCUGCUUUUCUUGGCUAUUGUCUUAACUUUUUCAUGUAUUUUGUUGUGGUCUCGUUUCAUUUCUUUAGGUUGACAAGAGCUGCUACAUCUCCUUAAGCUACUGGAGUACCUACAGUGUAAAAUUGCAUGGGAGACUACAAUAGUUGCGUGCUUGUCUCAGGCCAAGUAUGUUGCUCAGUUUAUAUUGCUUAAGAUCUCCAAUAUUUGCUUUCAGCAGUACUGCCCAAUUUUCACAUCGAAAUGUUAAAAAGACUCGAACUUUAUAGAUUGGAAGUGGAAAAACGCACACCAUGAUUGGAAAUAUUGAAGGAGGCACCCGAAGAUAAUAGUGUAAAUUGGGGGUUGUCGGCUAGGGUAUUUGAGUACCUGUUUUGAAGAAUUUGUAAGGUCUACCAUUGAAGUCAUCCAGAAAGAAGAAAGAAACUAUUUGUGCAACAUUAGUUGAUGCUGCUAAAAGAUUUCUAGAAGCAUGAAACAUUCAGUUCUGAUUGACUAAUCAAUAGAUUAUAGACAAGCUCAUAUAAAUAGUUGAUGUGUUGUGUUUAAAUUUAUGAAGUGGCUACUCCCUUCUAAGUGAAACUUUUUUUGUAUGAAUUUGUGUUCUACUGUAAAA